rnacentral:rRNA from 1 species
UACGUAGGGUGCAAGCGUUGUCCGGAAUUAUUGGGCGUAAAGGGCUCGUAGGCGGCCAACUAAGUCGGAUGUGAAAUCCCCAGGCUCAACUUGGGAACUGCAUCCGAUACUGGAUGGCUUGAAUUCGGGAGAGGGAUGCAGAAUUCCAGGUGUAGCGGUGAAAUGCGUAGAUAUCUGGAGGAAUACCGGUGGCGAAGGCGGCAUCCUGGACCGACAUUGACGCUGAUGAGCGAAAGCUAGGGGAGCAAACGGG